UAUCUUAGAGCAAGACAAUAUCUCCCUGGGCAUCACAUUCCUCAUCUGUGAAAUAGGAAUCAUGAUGACGAUCUAAGGUGAUGUGAGGAUGACAUAGAAUACGAUCACAGUUUUUCCAUUUGCCACAUAAUGUGACAUUUACACUUUCUGUGGUAAACUUUGUAGAGAGCUUGAUUUCUUCUCAGUAGCUCAAUUCUCUGGUGUUUCUAAGCAACAGCCCCUCCGUGCCCAUCUCAGAACAAACACAAUCUGCAUUCAGAACAGGACCCUUUACAAGUUGAAUGGAGUUAUUUUGGAGAACGUUUUAGCAAUAGUACAAGUGAACACUCUAUAAGUUUGUUGGGGUUCACAUCUCAUGAAUGAGGAGAAACCUGGAAUCAAGAAGGAGACAUUCUUAAAUAUAUAA